CCCUUAGAUGUUCUGGGCGGCCCGCGCACUACACUGGCACUCUCAAUCAGAGCCUGGAUCUAACACUUUGGGGUAUUCUAUGAAGUGGUGUUGUGACUGGGAUUAACCCUUGCAAUUAUUGGUUACGAACGAGGAAUUCCUUGUAAUCGCGGUUUAUCAGCCCGCGUUGAAUGCGUCCCUGCCCUUUGUACACACCGCCCGUCGCUCCUACCGAUGGAUCGUCCGGUGAAGCUCAUGGAGGGGCGGUUGUCUCAGCUGCCGUCGAAGUGAAAUGGACCUCACGAUCUAGAGGAAGGAGAAGUCGUAACA
rnacentral:rRNA from 1 species